CCAGGCAAUCCAAUCAAGUAACUUGCCAGACAGGAGAUAAACUGUGACAGGAGAAAAACAACAUUUAAAUUUCUGUGAUGUAGGUGGGAUGUAUCCGAGGGGUGGUCUUAGGUUACACCCCUUCUGUGAUGAAUGCAUAAUGUUUCUGGGGGUGGUCUUGAUCUAGAGGAUGGGAAUUUCAAAAGUCUUUAUAAGCCCUUGCACAGCAUUUUUGUGGGUCCUCUUCCUCUCCUGCGUGUGAGGGGAGCACCCUGUUGCAACAGAUCAAUAAAGAUCAAGCUUACUAGCUGCUUUGCUUCUCAAUAUUCUCCGGUUGGCCUCUGUUAUUUUCUCCUACCAACAGGGAACCUAUGCAAGGACUCUAUAUGGGCUCUUGGAUACCCCAUAAAGGAAAAGGGCAUAUUUUUAUUUACAACACUACCCAUGGUUUAAAAGGCCUGGAAAGGCUACAGUAAUGGCAAGCAUUUCCGUGAAAAGCUUUGGGCGCCGCCUCAUUCUUUGCCUCCAGAGAAGGGAGCUUUUCGUCCUUGACCCGGCUCUCUUAGCAAAUCCACUGCGGAGGUCUUUCCAAAUAAGAUCACCGACCUCGGGAUCCCCUUCUCCUUUGGGAAGACCUCUCCCCUCCUGACGGGAAGAAGGAGACCCCGGUCAGACCAUAGCUGUCAACCUCCCCUUUUUUGGAGGGAAAUUCCCUUAUUCCAGUGCCGCUUCCGGCUGCGAUCCCGGAUUGUUAGAUAUCCCGUCGACUGUCCCUGGGACAGGGGAGGCUGCUGAUCCCUUCUUUUCCAAUCUGAAAGUGGGCAGCUCUGGUUCAGAGGGUCUUCCCCCGGCUUCUCCCUCUCCUGUCCCAGACUCAGCCCCCCAUGUGACGCCUGUCCGUCUAUCCGCCUGCCUGUCUGCCUGCCUUCCCCAGAGGCUCCACCGGCUCUUCCUCUGGCCAGAGACCAGAUUCUCCUGAGAGGCUCCAUCCAGAGCCACUUCUCCCUCAGUCCAGGCCUCUCCAGAUCCCUCUUUCUGCCUCUAUCUCUCCAAAGGAGCCCUGUCUCACUUUAAGGCCCUCUUUGGGGAAGCUUCGCUUUUCAGGGUCGACGUUUUAUUAUAGCUUUAUAUGAGCUGGAAGCUGCCCAGAGUGGCUGGGGGAGCCCAGCCGGAUGGGAGGGCUAUAAAUGAUAAAAUAAUAAUCAUAAUAAUGAUCAAUAAUUUGCUCUUUUCCCUUCUCUGUCCCUGACUAAAAACUCCCUCAGAAACGGCUCCUUUUCUUUUCCCGCCCAAAGUGCUGGCUCCGCCCCCUUUGACUGGCUGGGCAGCCAAUCAGAGAGAGAGAGAGAGGGGCCCCGGCCCCCUGGUGGCCUUUCGGGGGAACUGCACCCCCACUCUGGCCUGGCUCGGCUGUCAAUCACCGGCUCCUCCCGCCUCCACCCAGAGACUUCAGAUGGCAGAGGAGGAAAAUGACUCUCGAGGAGGCUGAAUCUCAGCCCAGCCAGAGGCGCUCCUGACCUGGCGCCUGGGGGUCACAGGGACUGCUCUCACUCACUUCUGUCCUCUUUCCCCUUUCUUCCUGGUUUGGUUUAAAUCCAUUCACGAACCAAGAGCCCGCAUCCUGACCCCGGGCUGCGGACAUCUCUGCCCAUUUUGUGCAAAACAUGUCUAAAUCUGGGGGUGUUACUUCCCCCUGAAAGGCAGCUGAGGCGUCGCCUGCAUCUGGAGGAGCUCUGCGUGAGAGGCGAGGGAAGUUUUUAAUCUCUGGUGUUUUAUUGAUUUUUUAAAAUAUGUUAUGGAAGGCGCCCAGAGUGGCUGGGGAAACCCAGCCAGAUGGGCAGGGUAUGAAUAAAGAAAUUAUUAUUAUUAUUAUUAUUAUUAUUAUUAUUAAUUACAGUGGUACCUCGGGUUCAGUACUUAAUUUGUUCUGGAAGUCCGUUCUUAACCUGAAACUGUUCUUAACCUGAAGCACCACUUUAGCUCAUGAGGCCUCCCGCUGCUGCCGCGCGAUUUCUGUUCUCCUCCUGAAGCAAAGUUCUUCACCCGAGGUACUAUUUCUGGGUUAGCGGAGUCUGUAACCCGAGGUACCGCUGUGUUGUUGUUGUUGUUAGCCGCUCUGUGCCCGGCUUUGGCUGGGGAGGGCGGGAUAGAAAUAAAAUUUAUUGUUAUUAUUAUUUCAUUAUUAUUAUUAUUCGAGUCGUGCAAGAUAACCCAAACCCCUCCGGAGGGCCAAGCAGGGCUGCCUCUCCUCGGCCUCGCCUCCUCCCGCCCGGCCUCUUUCCCCCUGAAUGGGGGGUCCCUCCUUGACCAAGCCCCGCCCGGCAUCCCAGGGACCCCAAGGCGCCCCGAGACAAGAGGGGCCAGGGGGGGCUCCGGAAGACCCGCCUCCGCCAUUUCCUGUCCUCUCUAGGAGUGCGGCUCAGCUGCUCUUAAGCCUUGGCCCGCCGGGCGCGCCCAGCUGGUCUCCUUUGGGGGGAGCCUGGGGGCCGGAGGAGGAAAAGGAGCCGAGAAGGGGAAAGGGGAGCCCCCUGCCUCCCCGGGAUGGGCAGGGUGUUGCAGGAAUUUAUGUAUAGGUUGGGGGGGGGGUUGCCCCUCCAGCAGAUCUCAUGCACAUGCAGCCCACUACCAAAACCAGCACCAUCGCUUUUGUGACUUGUGUGAUUUGUCCCCACUGUUACGGUAAAAUCUGGGUGCGAGGCUACUCUGCCACCCAGCUCGUCGGACUAAGUCCGCGGGUCCCUGCGGAAGGAAAAUGAGCUCAGCUGGAGACAGGAGCAAGAUGCAGAAGAUCCAAGUUUAUUGCGCAACAGGUUCAAGACGAGAUUGAACAGCGAGAAAGGGGUGACAUGAACUUUUGAAAUUUCCCUCCAUGUCCCAGAAUACAGUGCAAAAUACAUCCCAGUUACAUCAUGAAUACAUUAAGAAGAGGUUGGGUUACACAGAUUACAUCAUGAAUACAUUAAGAAGAGGUUGGGUUACACAGAUUACAUCAUGAAUACAUUAAGGAGAGGUUGGGUCACACAGGAUUAACAUAUGGAGGAGGGAGGGGGGAAUAUGCAGAGCUGGAGAUAUGCGCAGAUAAGCACAUCCUGAGAAGACAAUGGUCCAUGUAUGCAUAGUCUGUCACCUGGCAUCGCCCGGAGGAAGGGCUUGGCAGAGCAAUUUGACAGGAUUAGGGUCUUGACACCUUGCUUGAGGGAUUAUGGAGGACAGGGGAGGUGUCAUGGAGUCCUAGAGAAAUUGAGCAAAUUGGCAUGUUGGUUUUCUAUGAAUUUUAUAGAUUUUAGUCCCUUUUGACAUUGACAAUUGGAAAUAAAUGGAUAUAUUGUAAUGAAGAAGGAGGUGAAGAAGACAUUGCCCCCCCCUUCCGUAUCACCACAAAACACUUCGUCGCAGUUUCUUCCUGUCUAUUCAAAGGGCCUUUGCUGCACGAUACCAAAUGUAGGAAUUCACUGAUCAAUGUAUCUCUGUACUGGCUCACUGGGGAAACUUCAGAAAUUCAUCUAGACCUGUGAGCUCAGCUCCUCAGCAGCCCCUCUGCCUGAGUGAUAUUCCCUGGCCUCCUGAUACCUGAGUGCCAGAAAUCACAAACCCAGUUGAAGACAAAAGGGUGGGAUGAACUUGGCUGGGAAACAGGGAAAUAGAAAUAUCUUUUUUUGUUCCACUUGAUGGGUGUUUGGUGGAGGGCAAGGGGAACCAUGGGGCAGGGUCCAGGAUGCUCAGAUUCCGGCCACCAGACCUCCCCUUUCAUGAUGUACCCAUGAUGUAGUUUGGGGGGUGUAACAUGGGGAUGAGCAGCUAAUAAAAUUUGGGUUCUCUUUUGUUUGGGGCUUCCAUCUUGUUCCACCUGGUGGCAGGUGGGAGUCCUGUCGCCACAGUCUUCAAUCAAGACCAAGCCGACUGGCUGCUGUUUUGCUCUGGUAUUCCGGGCUGGUGUCCUUGUUUUUUAUCCAAGGGAGCUCUCAGAUUUCUCCGUUAACAAGGGCAGGAGGCAAAGCGAGGGCAGCUGUGAUAGGAAUUUUAUGGUUUUAGAUAUAUGGCAACGUUCAUAACCACACGUACAUGGAUCAGCACAGGAAGGCCAACCUGGAACCAUUUUGAUUCCUAAACUGAGCAAAUGUUUCUCUGCAUGGUAAAGAUGGAAAAGCCUCCCCAUUGUGUCUUUCCUCACAGAUCCUGUCUCAAGGAUAUGUCUGUUUGAAUAAGGUGUGAGCCUGUGACCUGGCCCAGGAAAUAAGUAUUUUACCACUACAAAAGAAUGGCCAGGCUCCCCAGGCAAUCCAGUCAAGUAACUUGCCAGACAGGAGAUAAACUGUGACAGGAGAAAAACAACAUUUAAAUUUCUGUGAUGUAGGUGGGAUGUAUCUGAGGGGUGGUCUUAGGUUACACCCCUUCUGUGAUGUAUGCAUAAUGUUUCUGGGGGUGGUCUUGAUCUAGAGGAUGGGAAUUUCAAAAGUCUUUAUAAGGCCUUGCACAACAUUUUUGGGGGUCCUCUUCCUCUCCUGCGUGUGAGGGGAGCACCCUGUUGCAACAGAUUAAUAAAGAUCA
rnacentral:lncRNA from 1 species